rnacentral:snoRNA from 1 species
CAUGCCCCUAAAAGUGUUGCAGGCAUGACUCUUGUCACACGUGCAUAAGUAGGUGGCAGUGUUCUGACCUAUGAACAUC